AUACGGUGGAUGCAAGCGUUACCCGUAUUUCUUGGGUUUAAAGGGUGCGUAGGCGGAUGAUUAAGCGUGAGGUGAAAUGCCACUGCUCAACAGUGGAACUGCCUCGCGAACUGGUUGUCUUGAAUGCUCCUGCCGAGUGAGGAAUGUGUGGUGUAGCGGUGAAAUGCAUAGAGAUCACACAGAACACCGAUUGCGAAGGCAUCUCACGAAGGGGUGAUUGACGCUGAGGCACGAAAGCGUGGGGAUCAAACAGGAUUAGAUACCCUGGUAGUCCACGCAGUAAACGAUGAUGGCUAACCGCUGGGCUUAUCAGUUCAGUGGCCAAGCGAAAGCGAUAAGCCAUCCACCUGGGGAGUACGACCGCAAGGUUGAAACUCAAAUGAAUUGGCGGGG
rnacentral:rRNA from 1 species